CACGCUGUCAACGAUGAGUACUAGGUGUCGGGGGUUACCCCCUUCGGUGCCGCAGCUAACGCAUUAAGUACUCCGCCGGGGAAGUACGCUCGCAAGAGUGAAACUCAAAGGAAUUGACGGGGACCCGAACAAGUAGCGGAGCAUGUGGUUUAAUUCGAAGCAACGCGAAGAACCUUACCUAAGCUUGACAUCCCAAUGACAUCUC
rnacentral:rRNA from 1 species